rnacentral:rRNA from 1 species
UUGAAGAGUUUGAUCAUGGCUCAGAUUGAACGCUGGCGGCAGGCCUAACACAUGCAAGUCGAACGGUAACAGGAAGCAGCUUGCUGCUUUGCUGACGAGUGGCGGACGGGUGAGUAAUGUCUGGGAAACUGCCUGAUGGAGGGGGAUAACUACUGGAAACGGUAGCUAAUACCGCAUAACGUCGCAAGACCAAAGAGGGGGACCUUCGGGCCUCUUGCCAUCGGAUGUGCCCAGAUGGGAUUAGCUAGUAGGUGGGGUAAAGGCUCACCUAGGCGACGAUCCCUAGCUGGUCUGAGAGGAUGACCAGCCACACUGGAACUGAGACACGGUCCAGACUCCUACGGGAGGCAGCAGUGGGGAAUAUUGCACAAUGGGCGCAAGCCUGAUGCAGCCAUGCCGCGUGUAUGAAGAAGAAGGCCUUCGGGUUGUAAAGUACUUUCAGCGGGGAGGAAGGGAGUAAAGUUAAUACCUUUGCUCAUUGACGUUACCCGCAGAAGAAGCACCGGCUAACUCCGUGCCAGCAGCCGCGGUAAUACGGAGGGUGCAAGCGUUAAUCGGAAUUACUGGGCGUAAAGCGCACGCAGGCGGUUUGUUAAGUCAGAUGUGAAAUCCCCGGGCUCAACCUGGGAACUGCAUCUGAUACUGGCAAGCUUGAGUCUCGUAGAGGGGGGUAGAAUUCCAGGUGUAGCGGUGAAAUGCGUAGAGAUCUGGAGGAAUACCGGUGGCGAAGGCGGCCCCCUGGACGAAGACUGACGCUCAGGUGCGAAAGCGUGGGGAGCAAACAGGAUUAGAUACCCUGGUAGUCCACGCCGUAAACGAUGUCGACUUGGAGGUUGUGCCCUUGAGGCGUGGCUUCCGGAGCUAACGCGUUAAGUCGACCGCCUGGGGAGUACGGCCGCAAGGUUAAAACUCAAAUGAAUUGACGGGGGCCCGCACAAGCGGUGGAGCAUGUGGUUUAAUUCGAUGCAACGCGAAGAACCUUACCUGGUCUUGACAUCCACGGAAGUUUUCAGAGAUGAGAAUGUGCCUUCGGGAACCGUGAGACAGGUGCUGCAUGGCUGUCGUCAGCUCGUGUUGUGAAAUGUUGGGUUAAGUCCCGCAACGAGCGCAACCCUUAUCCUUUGUUGCCAGCGGUCCGGCCGGGAACUCAAAGGAGACUGCCAGUGAUAAACUGGAGGAAGGUGGGGAUGACGUCAAGUCAUCAUGGCCCUUACGACCAGGGCUACACACGUGCUACAAUGGCGCAUACAAAGAGAAGCGACCUCGCGAGAGCAAGCGGACCUCAUAAAGUGCGUCGUAGUCCGGAUUGGAGUCUGCAACUCGACUCCAUGAAGUCGGAAUCGCUAGUAAUCGUGGAUCAGAAUGCCACGGUGAAUACGUUCCCGGGCCUUGUACACACCGCCCGUCACACCAUGGGAGUGGGUUGCAAAAGAAGUAGGUAGCUUAACCUUCGGGAGGGCGCUUACCACUUUGUGAUUCAUGACUGGGGUGAAGUCGUAACAAGGUAACCGUAGGGGAACCUGCGGUUGGAUCACCUCCUU